UACAGAGGGGGCCAGCGUUAUUCGGAAUUAUUGGGCGUAAAGGGCGCGUAGGCGGCUUUGCAAGUGACGGGUGAAAUCCCUCGGCUUAACCGAGGAACUGCCUGUCAAACUGCAUGGCUUGAGACCGGGAGAGGUGAGUGGAAUUCCCAGUGUAGCGGUGAAAUGCGUAGAUAUUGGGAGGAACACCAGUGGCGAAGGCGGCUCACUGGACCGGUACUGACGCUGAUGCGCGAAAGCGUGGGGAGCAAACAGG
rnacentral:rRNA from 1 species